AUGGCCGACCCGCAGGCCAAAGCGCGAGGCCCACCGGAGCCCCGGGCGGAGGCCCUGGUGGAGCCCGUGCGGGUCAAUGACUCUGCGGCGGAGGCCACGCUCUCCAGCGCCGAGCUGGCGUGGCGCACCACCGGCGCCGGCCGCGACAGCGGUGGAAGGCGGAAGCUGGAGCUGGAGUCCGACGUGCUCGGGUUCCAGGUGGAGGGCAGGGCCCUCAAACUCGUGACCUUUACGAGGGGGGACGUGACGGGCGCGGGGAGGCCGCCGUCUCCGGUGGGCUGCGGCGGAGGAGCAGAGGACAGGAAGAGAGGGGAGGUGGCGGUGGAGAUGGAGAGCGAGGAGGCCGCGGAGAGGUGGGGGCACGCCAUCAGAGAUCGCUUCGCCUCGCUUGGUCGGCCGAAGAGACUGUUCUUCAUAGUGAACCCUUACGGUGGGAAGAGAGGUGGACGGAAGAUUUUCCAAACUGAAGUUCUGCCUCUUAUUGAAGCUGCUGGCAUCCAUUACACCAUGCAAGAAACCAAUUACCGUCUUCAUGCUCAAGAAAUUGCUGGUUCACUGGAUCUUAGGAAAUAUGAUGGGAUCAUUUGUGUUAGUGGAGAUGGUAUCCUUGUAGAGGUUGUUAAUGGUCUGCUCCAAAGAGAUGAUUGGGACAAAGCAAUAAAAGUGCCACUAGGGAUCAUUCCAGCAGGUACUGGAAAUGGAAUGGUGCAAGGUCUAUUGCAUUCUGCUGGUGAACCCUUCUCAAUGUCAAAUGCUGUGUUUGCAAUCAUCAGAGGUCACAGACGUGCCCUCGAUGUCACUUCUGUUGUGCAGGGAAAGACAAGGUUUUUCAGUGUCAUGAUGCUUACAUGGGGUUUGGUAGCUGAUAUUGAUAUUGAGUCAGAAAAGUUUAGGUGGAUGGGAAGCGCUCGCAUCGACUUCUAUUCCCUUCUACGUGCGGUGAACUUGCGACGGUACAAUGGGCGUAUUCUUUUUGUUCCUGCCCCAGGAUAUGAAGGAUUUGGUGAUCCUGUGGAGCAAACUAUCAGCUGUAAAUCAAAUGGGGCUGCCAAUGCCGCCGAAGGAGACAUAACAGAUGUUUGCAAUAAUGAAACAUGUACCUAUUCAGGUCCUUCAACUGACGAUGCUGAUCUUGAAUGGAGAUCACUGAAGGGUCCGUUUGUUAACGUUUGGAUCAGCAACAUUGCUUUUGCUAGUGAAGGUGUCAUGAUAGCACCACAAGCACAGUUUGCAGAUGGCUACUUGGACGCAGCUAUAAUCAAGGAUUGCCCAUGGUCUGUUGCUCUCGGACUCUUGCUUCGGAUGAAGGAUGGUAGCUACAUCGAAUCGCCCUACGUGGAGUACUUCAAGGUGAAGGCUCUCCGGAUCGAGCCGGGCCUGCGCGUCGGCAGCAGCACCAUAGGCGGCAUCAUCGACUCCGAUGGAGAGGUCCUCGCGAGAGGCGACAGGUCCCAAACCAAGGAAGAGCCGGAGCAUCUAAUGGCGUAUGGCCCCCCUAUCCAACUAACGGUGGACCAGGGGCUGGCCACCAUCUUCUCCCCAAGAUGA
rnacentral:rRNA from 1 species